CAGUCGCCGCGGUAAUACGUAGGGUGCAAGCGUUAAUCGGAAUUAUUGAGCGUAAAGGGUGCGUAGGCGGCUUGACAAGUCUUGUGUGAAAUCUAUGGGCUCAACCCAUGGUCUGCACGGGAAACUGUCGGGCUUGAGAAUGGGAGAGGUGAGUGGAAUUUCCGGUGUAGCGGUGAAAUGCGUAGAUAUCGGAAGGAACACCUGUGGCGAAAGCGGCUCACUGGACCAUUUCUGACGCUGAUGCACGAAAGCUAGGGGAGCAAACAGGAUUAGAUACCCGUGUAGUCCCUGUCUCUUAUAC
rnacentral:rRNA from 1 species